CCUACGGGGGGCUGCAGUGAGGAAUAUUGGUCAAUGGGCGUAAGCCUGAACCAGCCAAGUCGCGUGAGGGAUGAAGGUUCUAUGGAUCGUAAACCUCUUUUAUAAGGGAAUAAAGUGUGGGACGUGUCCUGUUUUGUAUGUACCUUAUGAAUAAGGAUCGGCUAACUCCGUGCCAGCAGCCGCGGUAAUACGGAGGAUCCGAGCGUUAUCCGGAUUUAUUGGGUUUAAAGGGUGCGUAGGCGGCCUUUUAAGUCAGCGGUGAAAGUCUGUGGCUCAACCAUAGAAUUGCCGUUGAAACUGGGAGGCUUGAGUAUGUUUGGGGCAGGCGGAGUGCGUGGUGUAGGGGUGAAAUGCUUAGAUAUCACGCAGAACCCCGAUUGCGAAGGCAGCCUGCCAAGCCAUGACUGACGCUGAUGCACGAAAGCGUGGGGAUCAAACGGGAGUAGAUACCCUAGUAGUC
rnacentral:rRNA from 1 species